rnacentral:rRNA from 1 species
UACGAAGGGGGCUAGCGUUGCUCGGAAUCACUGGGCGUAAAGGGUGCGUAGGCGGGUUUUUAAGUCAGGGGUGAAAUCCUGGAGCUCAACUCCAGAACUGCCUUUGAUACUGGCGAUCUCGAGUUCGGGAGAGGUGAGUGGAACUGCGAGUGUAGAGGUGAAAUUCGUAGAUAUUCGCAAGAACACCAGUGGCGAAGGCGGCUCACUGGCCCGAUACUGACGCUGAGGUGCGAAAGCGUGGGGAGCAAACAGGG